GGGGUGUUAGUUUAACUGGAAAAACAAUAGUUUUGCAAACUAUAAAAAAAGGUUCAAGUCCUGUACACUCCA
rnacentral:tRNA from 1 species